UGAUCUAGGAUAAAAGCCUGAGAGUCCUAU
rnacentral:piRNA from 1 species